rnacentral:rRNA from 1 species
UACGGAGGGAGCUAGCGUUAUCCGGAGUUACUGGGCGUAAAGGGCGUGUAGGUGGUUGCGUAAGUCUGGCGUGAAAUUUUUCGGCUUAACCGGGAAAGGUCGUCGGAUACUGCGUAGCUAGAGGACGGUAGAGGCGUGUGGAAUUCCGGGUGUAGUGGUGAAAUGCGUAGAGAUCCGGAGGAACACCAGUGGCGAAGGCGACACGCUGGGCCGUACCUGACACUGAUGCGCGACAGCAUGGGGAGCAAACAGG